rnacentral:tRNA from 1 species
GCGUCUGUAGCUCAGUUGGAUAGAGCACUAGCCUCCGACGCUAGGUGUCGCCGGUUCAACUCCGGCCAGACGUACCA